AAUCAACGCUGGCGGCGUGCCUCAGACAUGCAAGUCGAACGCGAAAGGUUCCUUCGGGAGCCGAGUAGAGUGGCGCUCGGGUGAGUAACACGUAGGUAAUUUGCCUUUGGGUGGGGAAUAACAACCGGAAACGGUUGCUAAUACCGCAUAAUGCAGCGGCUCGACAUCGAGACAGUUGUUAAAGCGGGGGAUCCUUCGGGACCUCGCGCCUAAAGAGAAGCCUGCGGCGGAUUAGUUAGUUGGGAGGUAAUGGCUCACCAAGGCGACGAUCCGUAACCGGCCUGAGAGGGCGGACGGUCACACUGACACUUAAAUACGGGUCAGACUCCUACGGGAGGCAGCAGUCGGGAAUUUUGGGCAA
rnacentral:rRNA from 1 species